rnacentral:rRNA from 1 species
AGGGUUUGAUUAUGGCUCAGGAUGAACGCUGACAGAAUGCUUAACACAUGCAAGUCUACUUGAUCCUUCGGGUGAAGGUGGCGGACGGGUGAGUAACGCGUAAAGAACUUGCCUUACAGACUGGGACAACAUUUGGAAACGAAUGCUAAUACCGGAUAUUAUGACUGAGUCGCAUGAUUUGGUUAUGAAAGCUAUAUGCGCUGUGAGAGAGCUUUGCGUCCCAUUAGUUAGUUGGUGAGGUAACGGCUCACCAAGACGAUGAUGGGUAGCCGGCCUGAGAGGGUGAACGGCCACAAGGGGACUGAGACACGGCCCUU